GAACCACCACUUGUGAACCAACCUUUCUCUUGGUGAAGGUUUCCUCUUCUGAACCAGCUUCUCCUCCUCAGUUCCAGCACAUUUAAAUGGAGAACUGCUUCCCAAGGAGAAACUCAUCAGGCUUCAGACAGGAACUUCCGGAAAAUGCAGCUCUUCGUAGAGAAUAAAGAAAUCAAGAGUCUGAAUGGGCCACCCAGACUACAGUGAUACGACCAACAGUCGGCUGGGCUCUCUCUCCCACAUUUAUUAUCAGUAACGGAAAUGCGACCCAGGCUAAUCCAGUAAAGGCUUCUUCUUCUAAGGUGACUCUAGAUGAGUUUCAAGGAGACAGCUGAGGCUAA